rnacentral:rRNA from 1 species
UAGCUUUGCACUGGACUUUGAGCCUGCUUGUGUAGGAUAGGUGGGAGGCUUUGAAGCGUGGACGCCAGUUCGCGUGGAGCCAUCCUUGAAAUACCACCCUGGCAUGCUUGAGGUUCUAACUCUGGUCCGUAAUCCGGAUCGAGGACAGUGUAUGGUGGGCAGUUUGACUGGGGCGGUCUCCUCCUAAAGAGUAACGGAGGAGUACGAAGGUGCGCUCAGACCGGUCGGAAAUCGGUCGCAGAGUAUAAAGGCAAAAGCGCGCUUGACUGCGAGACAGACACGUCGAGCAGGUACGAAAGUAGGUCUUAGUGAUCCGGUGGUUCUGUAUGGAAGGGCCAUCGCUCAACGGAUAAAAGGUACUCCGGGGAUAACAGGCUGAUACCGCCCAAGAGUUCAUAUCGACGGCGGUGUUUGGCACCUCGAUGUCGGCUCAUCACAUCCUGGGGCUGAAGCCGGUCCCAAGGGUAUGGCUGUUCGCCAUUUAAAGUGGUACGCGAGCUGGGUUUAGAACGUCGUGAGACAGUUCGGUCCCUAUCUGCCGUGGACGUUUGAGAUUUGAGAGGGGCUGCUCCUAGUACGAGAGGACCGGAGUGGACGAACCUCUGGUGUUCCGGUUGUCACGCCAGUGGCAUUGCCGGGUAGCUAUGUUCGGAAAAGAUAACCGCUGAAAGCAUCUAAGCGGGAAACUUGCCUCAAGAUGAGAUCUCACUGGGAACUUGAUUCCCCUGAAGGGCCGUCGAAGACUACGACGUUGAUAGGCUGGGUGUGUAAGCGUUGUGAGGCGUUGAGCUAACCAGUACUAAUUGCCCGUGAGGCUUGACCAU